UUUGUAGUUACCUAGCUGACAAUCAUAACUUUGGGGGAAAAAUAAAUGACGAUCAUAAUAGCAAGAACCCAAGUUCAAAGCAUUAAGGAAUUCCUAUUAAGCUCAACAACCAAGUCUAAAUGCUCAUGCCCACAAGUUUACAUAGGUAAAAGGUCUAAGUCCCCACAAGCAUCAUAACGUCUGACCACCAAAAUCAAGAAAACAUUCUCCAAACAACAGUUCUCAUAAGCCCAAAACUCAAAUCAGUAUGCUUCUUCACAGGUCUUGCACACUCAAACCUACAACAAACAUAAACUGAUAAUUAGACAUGAUGCCAAGCGAUUUAGGGAGAUACACUGUCCAGGGAACACAGAGAGGCAAAAGAAAAAGAAAAUAUGAGUUACAAGACCCAACAAUCUAUUGCAUUGAAUUAAAAAUAAAUAAAAGCAAAUCUAUCAGCUUUCAGAACUGUGGAUUAAAUUCAUACACGUACAAGAAAUCUAUUUGAGCUGUCAAAAGAUCUAAUAUGGACCUAGCUACUGAACAACAAAAGAACAAAAAGACAGAAAGCUUCAUACCUGGGGGAAGAGAUUGCUUCAAUUUGUCAGCCUUCUCAGAGUCAAACACACAAAGUGUGUAGAGGUACUUUGAGCAUCGGACCUUGAACUUCACCACAUCUUUGCUUCGCUUGAUCUUGACAGAACGGGCAUCUUUCCUUCUUGCUGUGAGAAGGAAAUCCUUGAUUUCGUGGAUCUGCUUAGGCUGUUGGUAACAAUGUAAUGCAUAACCACAAAGUAUUAAAUUACGCAGGUAAUUGGACAAUACAAAAGUUUAAUAAGCUGUUAGAUAAAAGAUGCAUAGAUUUUUUUUAAAAAAAAAAAAAAACAAUCAGGACAUUGUGAAAAAGCUAAGCAUUUAUUAGCAAGUAGCAACCAAACAGAAAAUUUACCAGAUAUUACAUGGCCAGGCCAAGCCGUGUUCCCAAAACAAAAUGUAGGAUCUAUUGGAAGGCUAUCCAAUUUCCUCAAGAAAACCGAUCUAAAACUUUUGCGUUACUUUAAUCAAUCAACUGCAUUUGGGCCUUGUCUUUAAGUUGUUUAAGCUUUCUAAUUACAAUUAUUAAAAAAAAAAACAUGUUGGUUAUGAACAGAUUCCAACACUGAAGCAAACUGAAUGUAGUUCUCCAGCAACAAAAUUAUCUUGAUCCCAUGUCAGCUACUAGCAUUAAGAAAACGUCAAGUAUAUACACUCCAGCAACAAAAUUAUCUUGAUCGCAUGUAGGCUACUAGCAUUAAGAAAACGUCAAGUAUCUACACACUAUAACAUCAAAAUGUAUCAAGCUGUCUACUUCCUAGCUAAGAUGUCAAAUUUCCAAAUCAACCUCAAAGGGCAUCUAAAUAUUUCUAAAUCCAGAGAUGUUGCCGAAUUUUUACAUAUCUGUUAUUUCUCAAGAUAACAAGAAUUGAAAAGACACCAAAUAGUGAAAACGUUUGACGGGAAUAGACUAUUCAUAUAUUGUUCAUUAUGUUUAAUCAUGUUCCAUCACCAGAUGCUUUUAUUAAAACUGUAAACAUCUAGCUUAACUAAAAGUGAGCACAAGAGAUAGCACAACUAAUGGCAGCAAAGCUUAAGCAUAGUUCAAUUUCACGAACAGAAAUACCAAUAAAAACAAAAGCUUUUAAAAAAGACAAACCCACCGCUACAUGCUAAAGAACAGCAAAUAAAAGUAGAAGCAAGGUGAUGAAAACCAUUAACUGACAUGUUCAUCACUCUAUUAAAUCCAAUAAAGAAAAAAAUAAUGCACAAGUCUCCUGAAAGUGCAGCUUUACCUACUGUAAAGGCCUAAACUGGGAAAGCAUCAAGAGUUUGAGCAUUCUAUACAGCUUAUAUACAUCAAGGGAGCAAAUAGAUUCUAGACGGAAGGCAAAAUGUCUAUUGCACAUUCAAUUUUUUAAUCCGUUUUCCAAGUUAUCAAAUCUCUUGCCAAGAGACAGAGCAAUCGCAUAAAAUAGAGAUGAAAUGAAGCAAGAAAUCAAUAGAAAUUACCAUUUUCUUGCUUCUUCUCGUCCAAAGGAGCUCAAUUCGUGAAGCUGCGAAGCAGAGUCGUCACAUUGAGUUGCGUAGGUACGUAGAGACACUUAAAUAGAAGGGAG
rnacentral:lncRNA from 1 species